rnacentral:rRNA from 1 species
UGGGGGAUAUUGCACAAUGGGCGAAAGCCUGAUGCAGCGACGCCGCUUGGGGGAUUAAGUCCUUCGGGUUGUAAACUUCUUUUGCUCUGAACAAGGCAUGCUAAUGGGUGUGUUGAGUGUAGGGGUUGAUUAGCGCCGGCUAACUACGUGCCAGCAGCCGCGGUAAUACGUAGGGCGCGAGCGUUGUCCGGAAUUAUUGGGCGUAAAGGGCUUGUAGGUGGCUGGUUGCGUCUGUCGUGAAAGCUAAUGGCUUAACUGUGGGUUUGCGGUGGGUACGGGCUGGCUUGAGAGCAGUAGGGGAGGCUGGAAGUACUGGUGUAGCGGUGGAAUGCGCAGAUAUCAGGAGGAAUACCGGUGGCGAAGGCGGGUCUCUAGGAAGUUACUGACACUGAGGAGCGAAAGAAUGGGGAGCGAACAGG